rnacentral:rRNA from 1 species
AUUGAACGCUGGCGGCGUGCCUAAUACAUGCAAGUCGAGCGAAGCGGGGACGGGUGAGUACCACGUGGAUAACCUCCUAUAAGACUGGGAUAACUACGGGAAACCGGAGCUAAACCGGAUACUUAUAGUUGGAUCCGGGGGGCAUUAGCAAGUUGGUAAGGUAACGGCUAACAAAGGCAAAGAUGCAGAGCCGACCUGAGAGGGUGAUCGGCAACACUGGAACUGAGACACGGUCCAGACUCCUACGGGAGGCAGCAUUGGGGAAUCUUCGGCAAUGGGCGAAGGCCGGACGGAGAAACGCCGCGUGAGUGAGGAGGGUCUUCGGAUCGUAAAACUCGGUUAUUAGGGAAGCGGUACCUAAUCAGAAAGCCACGGCUAACUACGUGCCAGCAGCCGCGGUAAUAC